rnacentral:rRNA from 1 species
AGUGAACGCUGGCGGUAGGCCUAACACAUGCAAGUCGAACGGCAGCACAGAGGAGCUUGCUCCUUGAGUGGCGAGUGGCGGACGGGUGAGGAAUACAUCGGAAUCUACUCUGUCGUGGGGGAUAACGUAGGGAAACUUACGCUAAUACCGCAUACGACCUACGGGUGAAAGCAGGGGACCUUCGGGCCUUGCGCGAUUGAAUGAGCCGAUGUCGGAUUAGCUAGUUGGCGGGGUAAAGGCCCACCAAGGCGACGAUCCGUAGCUGGUCUGAGAGGAUGAUCAGCCACACUGGAACUGAGACACGGUCCAGGCUCCUACGGGAGGCAGCAGUGGGGAAUAUUGGACAAUGGGCGCAAGCCUGAUCCAGCCAUACCGCGUGGGUGAAGAAGGCCUUCGGGUUGUAAAGCCCUUUUGUUGGGAAAGAAAUCCAGCUGGCUAAUACCCGGUUGAGAUGACGGUACCCAAAGAAUAAGCACCGGCUAACUUCGUGCCAGCCGCCGCCGCAG